UACGAAGGGGGCUAGCGUUGCUCGGAAUUACUGGGCGUAAAGGGCGCGUAGGCGGCACUGUUAGUCAGGCGUGAAAGUCCUGGGCUCAACCUGGGAACUGCGCUUGAUACGGCAGAGCUAGAGGAUGGAAGAGGGUCGCGGAAUUCCCAGUGUAGAGGUGAAAUUCGUAGAUAUUGGGAAGAACACCGGUGGCGAAGGCAGCUCGCUGGGACGGUACUGACGCUGAGACGCGAAAGCGUGGGGAGCAAACAGG
rnacentral:rRNA from 1 species